rnacentral:lncRNA from 1 species
CAGGGAUCUCGUGCCUGAACAUCGGGAGCAGGAAGGAUUUUUUCCCACCCUAAUAAAUACGUGUGGAGCACGGAGUACCUGGAACAAUAGUAGAUGUGGCCUAAGUUGGGAGUAGAAGUUGAUGUAUGUGACAUCCAGAUUGUUGCCCUUAAAGAAGAAUGUCUUCACUUUCUCCUUUCCUGCUAGAAUGAAGAUGUGAGAGUUGGAGCUGGAGCAGCUGAGGAGUCACGCACUCAGGAUUGCAAACGGAAGCCAAGUAUUGACCAAGGGUGGCAGCACAACAAGGAAAACACACUGGGCCCCUGACACUGCUGAACAACCACUGUAUUCUGGCAUCUCUUUGUCAGUUGUUGAACCUCUAUCCUAAGUAAUACCAGAUCUAAACAUUUAGUACAACAGACUUCCUGAUCCUGAAACCGAGUGUGCCCUUUGUAAAGAAUGUACAAUCGAGUUAGUCAAGCUUUCUUUUGCUUAUGGGUGCAAGGACCCAAUUCUACCUCAGUGAUCAAGAGUGACUCCUUAUUUCAGAACAUGUUAUAUAAUUGGGAUGGUGAAGACACUGCAGAAACUCAUCUGGUAUUUUCAGCUGAUCACGUAUGCUUGGGUUCUUAGUUUCCAUCUUUCUGCCUGAUACUGACCAACCCCUCUUUUGUCCCCCCACACUCCAAUUCAAAAUUUGUGCAAGUGGUGCCAAGGGUUUUGUGUAGGAGGGCUGCCCAAAUGAGCUUUUCUUGCCAUCUAGCCUCUCUGGCAAUGUGGUGAAUUCAAGGCCACACCUGCCACUUAGUAAGAAUGCAAACAAAUUAUUGAGAACUAUAAUUAUUCAUGUAUUAACACACAGGAUAAGUUAAGAUGACUAAGGAUAAGCCACGGAGCAACCACUUAAUAGAAAUCCUGAAUUUUUGGGAUGGCUCUUAGGAACACUAAGUAUGCUUUCCUUCUGAGCUGGUUGCUCAUUGGCGAGAUUCCAGCAAGAGACUUAACUCUAGCCUGUGACCUUCUUGGGUCCUGCUGAGUCCCUUUUUAAUCUAUACUCAGAAUGUCAUAAAGAGAGGUUGCUGAAGCUCCCCCCAACCCAAGCCGGUUAGCAGCUCUGGUCUACUCAUGGAAGUCUUUAAUCCAUCCAGAUUAAAAUAACACCCAGUUGACUGCUGGAUACACUUCAUCGUUGUGUCUGAGAACUCCCUCUCAACUUCCGAGGUUAUUCUCUGAUACCAUGCUUGAGGUACUCGAUAGUAUUUCAUUUUCCCAAUUUUUCAAGUAAGGAAGCUGAAAAGUCACACAGCAGCAUUGGGGUUUAAACCUUCCAUGGUCUGAGGCCAAAGCCCAUUUUGUUUCCAGCUCUCACUGAGCAGAGUUGAGGCUGGAAGACCAUCUGACAGCCUUCCAGCCCCGUCAGCAUCUUUACUGAGUAGCUUUGUUAUUUGAUGUAAACAGUCGUAAAUUCCCAGAACCGGAGACACACCCAUAUAAAAAUGUUAAUUACUAAAAUGCCUCAUAAAACCAAACGAAAAUGAACAGUGAAUUCAAGUCCCACUAGAAUUCUCUGUCUCUGGAUCCCCUCCACUAGGACAAACAACUGAGAACUGACAAGAUUUAAUUUUUCUUAAGUUCUAUCCAGUCAGAUCUCUCAAAUCUGACCCCUCCAGCCAUUCUGUGAAACUUAUUAAUUACGGAGAAAACGAUGACUGACGCUAUGCUUUAAGCUGCUCUUCAAAUGGAAACAUAUGAGAAACUGAGGCUUGUUUAAGUAACAGACCUUCUCCAGGCCCCCAAGUUUUGCUGAAACUGUCAGAGGACACACAUAUGGACGACUGUGCUAGUGCUUACUCUUUCUGAAAGUUCCAGAAACCACAGCUUCUGGUGAAGCGCCCUGCCGGAACAGCAGGCUUUAGAAAACAACAACAAAAAUCCCACUGGGAUGAAAGAGGCUCAUUUGUUUUCAAGUUGUGGCCCUUCCACCCUCUGGGGGCCCCUCCCUCAUGCCUGCGUCUAAGGCUUUGAUUUAUAAUCUUCCACCCACGCAAGCCUUGGCAUCCGCUGGGAUCCUACAAUGAGGUUGAGGUGUAAACCUGGAGGAAACUUGUAAGGACAAGAGCAAGUUGGGGGUAGAGGGAAAGAGGGAGAGUGAGAGAGAGGAAAAGAAAUUAGGAGACCACACGCUUGGCACAAUUGAAUGAGCACAUGUGUUGGGAAGGCUCAGCUGACUAAGGACUGCUGACUGUGGGUUUGGUGGCCAAGACCAUGCCUUUGGUUCUGCGGCACAGCUUCCAGCAGGAGAGCUCAUUGCCCAGUGCACUGUGACCAGGAUGGCUGGCAUGUGAACACUCCUCCUCUUUUGUCAGGAUUUCUUUUAUAGGCUUGCACAGCCAGAUCUGUGUUCCCAGCUGUAAGGCUGGGGAUUCAGUGUAUCCCCUGGGGGGUAAAUAGUAGCAGCUGCAAUCUUCUGCCAGAAAAGAACUUGC